AGUGGCGGACGGGUGAGUAACGCGUGAGAAUCUGCCUUCAGGUCGGGGACAACAGAGGGAAACUUCUGCUAAUCCCGGAUGAGCCUUAGGGUAAAAAAUUUAUUGCCUGGAGAUGAGCUCGCGUCUGAUUAGCUAGUUGGUAAGGUAAAAGCUUACCAAGGCAACGAUCAGUAGCUGGUCUGAGAGGAUGAGCAGCCACACUGGGACUGAGACACGGCCCAGACUCCUACGGGAGGCAGCAGUGGGGAAUUUUCCGCAAUGGGCGAAAGCCUGACGGAGCAAGACCGCGUGGGGGAGGAAGGCCCUAGGGUUGUAAACCCCUUUUCUUUGGGAAGAACAAAAUGACGGUACCAAAGGAAUCAGCCUCGGCUAACUCCGUGCCAGCAGCCGCGGUAAUACGGAGGAGGCAAGCGUUAUCCGGAAUGAUUUGGCGUAAAGCGUCCGCAGGUGGCAAUGUAAGUCUGCUGUCAAAACCCAGGGCUCAACUCUGGUCAGGCAGUGGAAACUACAUAGCUAGAGUUCGGUAGGGGCAAAGGGAAUUCCCGGUGUAGCGGUGAAAUGCGUAGAGAUCGGGAAGAACAUCGGUGGCGAAAGCGCUUUGCUAGACCGAAACUGACACUCAGGGACGAAAGCUAGGGGAGCGAAUGGGAUUAGAUACCCC
rnacentral:rRNA from 1 species